UUCCGAAAGGGGCGGUAAUACCAAAUAAUAUCAUUUGUCGAUAGGCAGAUGAUCAAAGAUUUAUCGGCAUAGGAGCGGCCUGCCUCCUAUCAGCUUGUUGGUGAGGUAACGGCUCACCAAGGCAGCGACGGGUAGCGGGACUGAGAGGUUGACCCGCAACAUCGGGACUGAGACACUGCCCGGACCUCCACGGAGGGCUGCAGUAACGAAUCUUGUGCAAUGGGCGAAAGCCUGACACAGCGACGCCGCGUGUAGGAGGAAGUCUUUCGGGAUGUAAACUACUGUCAGGGGGAAGAAAGUGCGCUCCGGCGUAUUGAUCUAACCCAGAGGAAGUCACGGCUAACUUCGUGCCAGCAGCCGCGGUAAGACGAAGGUGACAAGCGUUGUUCGGUAUUACUGGGCUUAAAGCGUGUGUAGGCGGAAAUGUAAGCGUUGCGUGAAAGCCCCCGGCUUAACCGGGGAACUGCGCAACGAACUGCGUUUCUUGAGGCAAGUAGGGGUGCAUGGAACUCUUGGUGGAGCGGUGGAAUGCGUAGAUAUCAAGAGGAACGCCAGUGGAGAAAUCGGUGCACU
rnacentral:rRNA from 1 species